rnacentral:rRNA from 1 species
UACGAAGGGGGCUAGCGUUGCUCGGAUUGACUGGGCGUAAAGGGCGCGUAGGCGGUUCGUACAGUCAGACGUGAAAUUCCUGGGCUUAACCUGGGGGCUGCAUACGAGACGUAUGGGCUUGAGUGCGGAAGAGGGUCGUGGAAUUCCCAGUGUAGAGGUGAAAUUCGUAGAUAUUGGGAAGAACACCGGUGGCGAAGGCGGCGACCUGGUCCGUGACUGACGCUGAGGCGCGAAAGCGUGGGGAGCAAACAGG